rnacentral:lncRNA from 7 species
AAAUCCAUAUUUUUCCAAUUUUUUUUUUUUUCCUGUAGUGGCAAGUUUUUUUUCUGUCCAUCUGGGAGCAGAAUCCUGUGCUCAGCGUAUGUAAAUAACAGCUGUUUCCACUCAAUUGCAUUUAUGUACUUAACACUUCAAAAUAGACUUUUUUCUAGAAGUUUCACAAUCUAGUCACCAUCCGUGCUUAGACUGAGGUACUGGGGGAGAGAUUAAUGAAACCCCUCCGGAGUGGCUGACAAAAGUAUACAGCUGUAGCUCUGGAAUCCCUGCACAGGAUGGAUCGCUGAUGCUGACGGCCGUGCUUCAAUGCACUGUGAAGGCAACUUCACUCCUUAGGCACCCUCAGCUCUGGCUUCUGGGGCUGCUGAGGGGGUAGCAGGAUGCCAGUUCAGAGUGCCUGAAAUGAGGUGAGACCGCUCUGCAGCCUCCAAGAAUGGUGCUUCCCUAGUGUGAAUGGGAGGAUAGAACGAGCAUGUGGGCAAUUGUAACAACGCACCACGAAAACUGGAAUAACUGAGAAAGGCAGCGUCGACAUCAAACAUAAAUUACUAUUAUGAUACACUAUAAAGCUGCAGCAGAGAUGUAGUGGUGGCACAGCAGAAGCUGGAGAUGUCAGGUGAAAUCCAGGCCCUCCCAACAGCCAGCUUUUCCAUGGGGCUGAAUAGCUGCAUAGGGCUGGGGGGAUGGGGUGGCUCACCACUCCCUCCAUUCUUGUCUCGAGGAACUGGAGCAUACAGACACGAAACUCGAAACUCGUCAAAUGGGCACAUUUGGCAGUGCUGUACUACUGACUCAAUUUUUCAAAGCCACAAGGGUUGGGUGCUUUUUGCUGUUGUUUAGUAAGUAUGAAGAAAGAUACAUCUCUGAUAGACUAGAAAAGUCAAACAGUUCAAAGCAAACAAGAAAGUGCUAGAAAAGAACCUUUGACCCUUUGAAUCCAAGCACUUUCAGACCUUCCAGGAAAUAUCUUAUUCUUCAGUACUUGCAAAUUUAAUUAAACAACAGCUGGUGCAUGUCG